AACAGAGGUUCUCUUAACAGACAGGGACUUCUGAGGAACAGGAACUCUUCAAUUCCUCUAAAGAGAAAUCCCAGAAGUCUGCCUCUGAAAGUUAUAUGAAUCAAGUCCACUAAAGGUUUGAGAGAAUUUCUCAGGAGUGCCGGUACCCUUGGGAGAUGGGCCCAACCUCAGUGUACACAGCAGAUAGCUUUCCAAGGGGCAAAGCAGGAGCAGAAGCCCAUGGGAGAUGCCAGCUCUCUGCCCCAGCCAGCCACAGGGAGCAGGCUCAUCCCCAGCCCAUGUAAUGCAGCAGACCACAUGGCACAUGCUCAGAGAAAGGAACUGGAGAAGUACAGUAGGAGAAGAAGAAGGAGGAAGCAGACGGAAGAGGAGAAACCUAAGAACCACACUGCCAUCUGUGGGAUGACGACAGACUGUAUCAGUUUCUUCGAUUAGAAAAAACCCCCAGUUCACAGAA